AUUGAACGCUGGCGGCAGGCCUAACACAUGCAAGUCGAGCGGAGCGGCGGACGGGUGAGUAAUGCCUAGGAAUCUGCCUGGUCGUGGGGGAUAACGUCCGGAAACGGGCGCUAAUACCGCAUACUAUCAGAUGAAUCUAGGUCGGAUUAGGUAGUUGGUGGGGUAAAGGCCUACCAAGGCGACGAUCCCUAGCUGGUCUGAGAGGAUGAUCAGUCACACUGGAACUGAGACACGGUCCAGACUCCUACGGGAGGCAGCAGUGGGGAAUAUUGGACAAUGGGCGAAAGCCUGAUGCAGCCAUGCCGCGUGUAUGAAGAAGGUCUUCGGAUUGUAAAGCACUUUAAGUUGGGAGGCGUUACCCGCAGAAGAAGCACCGGCUAACUCCGUGCCAGCAGCCGCGGUAAUAC
rnacentral:rRNA from 1 species